UACCUUUUGUAUAAUGGGUCAGCGACUUAUAUUCUGUAGCAAGGUUAACCGUAUAGGGGAGCCGGAGGGAAACCGAGUCUUAACCGGGCGUUAAGUUGCAGGGUAUAGACCCGAAACCCGGUGAUCUAGCCAUGGGCAGGUUGAAGGUUGGGUAACACUAACUGGAGGACCGAACCGACUAAUGUUGAAAAAUUAGCGGAUGACCUGUGGCUGGGGGUGAAAGGCCAAUCAAACCGGGAGAUAGCUGGUUCUCCCCGAAAGCUAUUUAGGUAGCGCCUCGUGAAUUCAUCUCCGGGGGUAGAGCACUGUUUCGGCUAGGGGGCCAUCCCGGCUUACCAACCCGAUGCAAACUGCGAAUACCGGAGAAUGUUAUCACGGGAGACACACGGCGGGUGCUAACGUCCGUCGUGAAGAGGGAAACAACCCAGACCGCCAGCUAAGGUCCCAAAGUCAUGGUUAAGUGGGAAACGAUGUGGGAAGGCCCAGACAGCCAGGAUGUUGGCUUAGAAGCAGCCAUCAUUUAAAGAAAGCGUAAUAGCUCACUGGUCGAGUCGGCCUGCGCGGAAGAUGUAACGGGGCUAAACCAUGCACCGAAGCUGCGGCAGCGACGCUGAUGCGUUGUUGGGUAGGGGAGCGUUCUGUAAGCCUGCGAAGGUGGCCUGUGAGGGUUGCUGGAGGUAUCAGAAGUGCGAAUGCUGACAUAAGUAACGAUAAAGCGGGUGAAAAGCCCGCUCGCCGGAAGACCAAGGGUUCCUGUCCAACGUUAAUCGGGGCAGGGUGAGUCGACCCCUAAGGCGAGGCCGAAAGGCGUAGUCGAUGGGAAACGGGUUAAUAUUCCCGUACUUGGUGUUACUGCGAAGGGGGGACGGAGAAGGCUAUGUUGGCCGGGCGACGGUU
rnacentral:rRNA from 1 species